CUAUAUAUAUAUAUAGGGGGUUCAUGCACUUAUUUAGGAUUUAUUGAAUGGUUGAAUGAAAUUAUGAUUCCCUUUCUUUUUAGCUCUGGCAUGUGAAACUCUGAGCGGGGCUAGGUGCGAAGCCUAGUUCUUCAUCUUCUCCUCUUCUUCCUCCUCCUUUUUUUCUCUACGUUGUCCUGCAUCAGCUUUGGUAUCAGGAGCUAUAACACCGUGCGGUUCACACUGCACAUGUCGGGGACGAAAUCCGGCCUCCAUUCUUCCACAGCCAGUAGCUGGCCGGCCGCCUGCCAUGGCCCGCCAGCCAUCGCCGCCGCUGGGUCGCCCUCACUCCGAAACCUGACCGUGAUCACGUCCUCCUUCAUCAAGAUGUAUUCGACCUCGUAGGCGAGUUUGCCCCGUGCCCGGAAUUCGCGCGCCACCCAUUCCCCUGGCACACGCCUCCCCAGGCUCCGGACUAGCAUAGCU
rnacentral:lncRNA from 1 species